rnacentral:rRNA from 1 species
GACGAACGCUGGCGGCGUGCCUAAUACAUGCAAGUCGAGCGCACAGGGUUGGUACUUGUACCUACUGGAUGAGCAGCGAACGGGUGAGUAACGCGUGGGUAAUCUGCCUUUGAGCGGGGGACAACAUUUGGAAACGAAUGCUAAUACCGCAUAAAAACUUUAACCACAAGUUUCAAGAUUGAAAGAUGCAAUUGCAUCACUCUAAGAUGAUCCCCCGUGGUAUUAGCUAGUUGGUGAGGUAAACGCUCAACAAAGCGAAGAUACAUAGGCGACCCGAGAGGGGGGUUGGCCACAAUGGGACUGAGAAACGGCUCAAACCUCUAAGGGAGGGAGCAGGAGGGGAUCUUCGGCAAUUGAGGAAAGGCUGACCGAGCAACGCCGGCGGAGGGAAGAAGGGUCUCGGAUCGGAAAAAUCUGUUGGUAGAGAAGAAAGUUGGUGAGAGUGGAAAGCGCAUCAAGUGACGGUAACUAACCAGAAAGGGACGGUUAACUACGUG